rnacentral:lncRNA from 1 species
GACACUAUCUACAAAAGAAGACCUGAGAAGAUCUGAAAUUCUUUGUUAAGCUUUUGAUUUAAAGCCGUUUCCUGAGAUUUUGGCAGGCCCCUAGUACUUUGCCAGGAAAAUAUAUUAAAUCCAUCUACAUCUGGCUAGGCUCCUCCUUCGUCACUUCAAAACAGAUAUCUUAAUCACUGCCACUCACUGUUAGUUGGUUCAAAAUACUUAGUAUUAAGCUCAAAUCUAGAAACUUUGACAGAAAGUGCUAAGUGGGGCAGAGGAAGCUUGUUUUUUUGAACAAACUCAGUUGCUACCAUGUCUACUGGAGCCUUAGAAGAAGAGUGAUUAAACAAAAGCUAGGUUUAUUUGUUUAUAACAGAAGAUGGUCAAAUUGACAGCAUUUUCCAGACUUGCUAAAUAACUUCUUCCAGGAUUCUGAUAGGUUAGUGGUACAAAGCCAUUGUCAGGCAACUCUCUGGGCCUCCCAGGAGGAUACCUGGGACCAGGCAUUUCCACUGUGUCUGUCUUGAUUCCUGAAGAAAAUUUAUCGUGCAAAGAGGAAUCUUCCAUUGAAGGAGACCAUGUUUAUCGCCUGUACAGAGAAGCUCAAUCAAGUUAUCCUCUCAUCUGUGUCUGCAAGAAAUGGGUAAUUUUGGUGCAGAGGUUCUUUCAGGAGACUAUGAUGAGGUUUGGAUGUGAAAAUUGGCUAGACUUUCCAAAAGGAAAAUCCUGUAUAUGAAGACUUGUUUAGGGGGAAAAAAAUUCUUGG